rnacentral:rRNA from 1 species
UACGUAGGGGGCGAGCGUUGUCCGGAGUUACUGGGCGUAAAGCGCACGCAGGCGGUCUGCUAAGUUUGGAGUGACAGUUGGUGGCUUAACUGCCAAAGUGCUUCGAAAACUGACAGACUUGAGGGCUUCAGAGGGACACGGAAUUCCGGGUGGAGUGGUGAAAUGCGUAGAGAUCCGGAGGAACACCGAUGGCGAAGGCAGCCCCCUGGGCCAAUACUGACGCUCAUGCACGAAAGCGUGGGGAGCAAACAGG